rnacentral:rRNA from 1 species
GACGAACCGUGCAAACGUUAUUCGGAAUCACUGGGCAUAAAGGGCGCGUAGGCGGCUCCAAAAGUCAGGAGUGAAAUCCGGCAGCUUAACUGUCGCAGUGCCUUUGAUACUGUGGAGCUAGAGGGAGGUAGGGGUCUGUGGAACUUCCGGUGGAGCGGUGAAAUGCGUUGAUAUCGGAAGGAACGCCGGUGGCGAAAGCGACGGACUGGAUCUCUUCUGACGCUGAGGCGCGAAAGCCAGGGGAGCAAACGGG